UAUAAGGCUUCGGAAAGCCUGCUCCCGGGCUCUCGCUUGCAUUUCCAUCUCCGGUCCUCCGACGCCCGAGACAAACCCUCUGUUGCGCUCCGUGUGGAAAGGAAGAUGGCGAGCUCUCAGUGCUGUGCGAACCCACCGACGCUGAGCCCCGGCAGCGGCCAAGGCUGCGUGGUGGACGAUCUCGGGGGCCUCAAGGCCUACACCGCCGGCUCCCCCGAUUCCAAGCUGGCCAUCAUUCUCGUCUCCGACGUCUAUGGGUUUGAAGCUCCAAAUUUGAGGAAAAUUGCAGACAAAGCUGCAGCUUCAGGAUUCUUUGUGGUGGUGCCAGAUUUCUUAUAUGGGGACCCUUACUCACCUAACAAUGCUGAGAGGCCAUUGCCUAUCUGGAUACAAUCUCAUACUACAGCUAAAGGUUUUGAAGAUGCAAAACCAGUUAUUGCAGCUUUAAAAAGUAAGGGCAUUUCUGCAGUCGGGGCUGCAGGUUUUUGCUGGGGUGCUAAAGUUGUUGUGGAAUUGGCGAAAGCUGCUGAGAUCCAAGCUGCGGUGUUCUUACAUCCUUCAUUUGUGUCUGUUGAUGAUAUCAAGGAGGUUAAAUGCCCCAUUGCUAUACUUGGAGCUGAGUUCGACCAUCUUUCUCCACCUGAAUUAGUGAAGCAGUUUGAGCAGAUUUUAUCUGCAAAAACUGGGGGAGUAAUAGUUGGCAUGAGGUGCUGUGGUGGAUAAGUGCAGUUACGGACGCAUUCAGAACUAUUUGGUGCAGGGUGCAACUGUCAGGGCACAGAACACAGAAAAAGUCAAAAUUUUUUGUACCUUUCAAGUUAGUUACUUUGUAAAGAUAUUUCCAGGCGUGGCUCACGGAUGGUCUGUCAGAUACAAGGUGGAUGAUGCAUCUGCUGUUAAAAGUGCUGAAGAGGCUCAUCAAGACAUGCUUGACUGGUUUGCUAAGCAUGUCAAGUAACAUCUUCAAAACAGUGCUUUGUCCUGCACUUCAGUAGACCUUGUUGGACUAGUAUGAAUUGAAAUAUACUCAAGGAUUUUUCCGGUGUUGCUUAAGCAUACAAAACUGGUUUCAACAUUCAUGACAAAGGCUCAAAGCUUUUCCCAUUUACCAUUCCAACUGCUGAUUGCAUAAAUUAAUAUUAUGGUGUGUGUUUUAAUGGCUCUUA